UCUCAUCUCCGUGGCCUUUCCCCUUCCUUUGCAGGACACCUCAGCUCGGAGCAAAGGGCAGCACCUGGACACACACACACACACACCGUUUUCCCUUUCCUUACUCUGGGUGACACUUUGCCAAUUUCAUCUCUGCUGCUUAGGCUCCUGUCUUUGCAGGCCAGCAAGCAACACCCACUUCGCUCACCUUUUCCAGCUCUGUCUUGGAGCACAGGCUGAGUGUAAAAGAGCUGAAAGAGGCCUGUAAACAGGAUCUCUUACACUUGAGACUCGGUACUGGACUUUUAGUGGCACACAAGAAUUAUGAAAGAUCAAUUGAAGAUGAAAGGUUACACUGUGGACUGGAUUAAGGAAACUAUAAAAGAUCACAGAAUAAAAGUAAUUGAUUUAAUGUGAUGAGAAGUAAAACCAUAUUAGGAUUUUCAUAAGUAUGUCAAUUACCCACUGUGCAUUUCUGAUGUUGAAUAAAGGCUUUAUCCUUCCCAGAUUUUCAAUGACAGCUUUAUAGCACUCUUCAUCUGAGGAUCUCAAAGUGCUUCACAAUUUAUAAAUUGUGAAGGCAGAUAAAGUUAAUGACUUGCCAAAGGUCACACAACAUGUCAGUAGCAGAUCCAGGGAUAGAAACCAGGGGGAAAAUCCUGAUCCCAUUGAAAUCAAUGGCAAAACUCCCAUUUAAUUCAGUGGGUCCAGGAUUUCAUCCCAUGAGCCUGAAGACCAAUUGCCUGCUCUUGCCACCAGAACCAACAUUAUUAAUUUGCGUGCAUGCAUGAGGUGCACAUUUAAUUGUUACGUUGAGGCCCCUUGGAAAUUCAAGCCAUUGCUAAUUUCAGAGUUACCUGAUACAUGAGAGGGAAAAAAUAAUUUAAUGUAAAAAAACAAAUUCUAACAUGCACAUAACAAAUUUGUUCUGUACAAACACAGCUAAUCAAUAAUACAGCCAUGAACAACAGUCCAACUAUGGCAACAAUAUCCAUCAAACCAAAUGACUAAAGUUCAGAUUUAUCAUUUUCUCGGUGGAAGAGAAAUAAU